rnacentral:rRNA from 1 species
CCCUUAGAUGUUCUGGGCCGCACGCGCGCUACACUGACGAAUGCAACGAGCUUAUAACCUUGGCCGAAAGGUCUGGGUAAUCUCCAAAUUUCGUCGUGAUGGGGAUAGAUUAUUGCAAUUAUUAAUCUUCAACGAGGAAUGCCUAGUAAGCGCAAGUCAUCAGCUUGCGUUGAUUACGUCCCUGCCCUUUGUACACACCGCCCGUCGCUCCUACCGAUUGAAUGGUCCGGUGAAGCGUUCGGACCGUGGCCUUUGGACGGUUCGGCGUCUGUUGGCUGCGGGAAGUUCGUUAAACCUUAUCAUUUAGAGGAAGGAGAAGUCGUAACA